GUAAGCUACUAAGAGCGAAUGGUGGAUGCCUUGACUGGUAAAGGCGAUGAAGGACGUACUAGACUGCGAUAAGCUACGGGGAGCUGUCAAGAAGCUUUGAUCCGUAGAUUUCCGAAUGGGGCAACCCAAUGUAUAGAGAUAUACAUUACCUAUAUAGGAGCGAACGAGGGGAAUUGAAACAUCUUAGUACCCUCAGGAAAAGAAAUCAAUAGAGAUUGCGUCAGUAGCGGCGAGCGAAAGCGCAAGAGGGCAAACCCAGUGCUUGCACUGGGGGUUGUAGGACUGCAAUGUGCAAGAGGUAAGUUUAGCAGAACAUUCUGGAAAGUAUAACCAUAGAGGGUGAUAGUCCCGUAUGCGAAAAACAAACCUUAGCUAGCAGUAUCCUGAGUAGGGCGGGACACGAGGAAUCCUGUCUGAAUCCGGGUCGACCACGAUCCAACCCUAAAUACUAAUACCAGAUCGAUAGUGCACAAGUACCGUGAGGGAAAGGUGAAAAGAACUGAGGUGAUCAGAGUGAAAUAGAACCUGAAACCAUUUGCUUACAAUCAUUCAGAGCCCUAUGUAGCAAUACAGGGUGAUGGACUGCCUUUUGCAUAAUGAGCCUGCGAGUUGUGGUGUCUGGCAAGGUUAAGCAAACGCGAAGCCGUAGCGAAAGCGAGUCUGAAUAGGGCGCUUAGUCAGAUGCUGCAGACCCGAAACGAAGUGAUCUAUCCAUGAGCAAGUUGAAGCUAGUGUAAGAACUAGUGGAGGACUGAACCCAUAGGCGUUGAAAAGCCCCGGGAUGACUUGUGGAUAGGGGUGAAAGGCCAAUCAAACUUCGUGAUAGCUGGUUCUCUCCGAAAUAUAUUUAGGUAUAGCGUUGUGUCGUAAUAUAAGGGGGUAGAGCACUGAAUGGGCUAGGGCAUACACCAAUGUACCAAACCCUAUCAAACUCCGAAUACCUUAUAUGUAAUCACAGCAGUCAGGCGGCGAGUGAUAAAAUCCGUCGUCAAGAGGGAAACAACCCAGACUACCAGCUAAGGUCCCUAAAUCUUACUUAAGUGGAAAACGAUGUGAAGUUACUUAAACAACCAGGAGGUUGGCUUAGAAGCAGCCAUCCUUUAAAGAAAGCGUAAUAGCUCACUGGUCUAGUGAUUUUGCGCGGAAAAUAUAACGGGGCUAAAGUAAGUACCGAAGCUGUAGACUUGCGCACAACUUAGAUUAUUUAAGUUUAGAAUAUGAGAAACUAAGUUAUAUGUUUAGUUAUAUUUUUACUGAUUUUUAUAGAGUAAAGAUAGAAAUAAAACUUAGUAAAAUCAGUAAAAAUAUUCUUAGACUAAAGUUAAGUAGUUUAAGUUGUGUGCAAGUGGUAGGAGAGCGUUCUAUUUGCGUCGAAGGUAUACCGGUAAGGAGUGCUGGAGCGAAUAGAAGUGAGCAUGCAGGCAUGAGUAGCGAUAAUUAAUGUGAGAAUCAUUAACGCCGUAAACCCAAGGUUUCCUACGCGAUGCUCGUCAUCGUAGGGUUAGUCGGGUCCUAAGUCGAGUCCGAAAGGGGUAGACGAUGGCAAAUUGGUUAAUAUUCCAAUACCAACAUUAGUGUGCGAUGGAAGGACGCUUAGGGCUAAGGGGGCUAGCGGAUGGAAGUGCUAGUCUAAGGUCGUAGGAGGUUAUACAGGCAAAUCCGUAUAACAAUACUCCGAGAACUGAAAGGCUUUUUGAAGUCUUCGGAUGGAUAGAAGAACCCCUGAUGCCGUCGAGCCAAGAAAAGUUUCUAAGUUUAGCUAAUGUUGCCCGUACCGUAAACCGACACAGGUGGGUGGGAUGAGUAUUCUAAGGCGCGUGGAAGAACUCUCUUUAAGGAACUCUGCAAAAUAGCACCGUAUCUUCGGUAUAAGGUGUGGUUCGCUUCGUAUUAGGAUUUACUCCGAAAGCGAAGAAACUUACAACAAAGAGUCCCUCCCGACUGUUUACCAAAAACACAGCACUCUGCUAACUCGUAAGAGGAUGUAUAGGGUGUGACGCCUGCCCGGUGCUCGAAGGUUAAUUGAUGGGGUUAGCAUUAGCGAAGCUCUUGAUCGAAGCCCGAGUAAACGGCGGCCGUAACUAUAACGGUCCUAAGGUAGCGAAAUUCCUUGUCGGUUAAAUACCGACCUGCAUGAAUGGCGUAACGAGAUGGGAGCUGUCUCAAAGAGGGAUCCAGUGAAAUUGUAGUGGAGGUGAAAAUUCCUCCUACCCGCGGCAAGACGGAAAGACCCCGUGGACCUUUACUACAGCUUGACACUGCUAUUUGGAUAAGAAUGUGCAGGAUAGGUGGGAGGCUUUGAGUAUAUGACGCCAGUUGUAUAUGAGCCAUUGUUGAGAUACCACUCUUUCUUAUUUGGGUAGCUAACCAGCUUGAGUUAUCCUCAAGUGGGACAAUGUCUGGUGGGUAGUUUGACUGGGGCGGUCGCCUCCCAAAUAAUAACGGAGGCUUACAAAGGUUGGCUCAGAACGGUUGGAAAUCGUUCGUAGAGUAUAAAGGUAUAAGCCAGCUUAACUGCAAGACAUACAAGUCAAGCAGAGACGAAAGUCGGUCUUAGUGAUCCGGUGGUUCUGUGUGGAAGGGCCAUCGCUCAAAGGAUAAAAGGUACCCCGGGGAUAACAGGCUGAUCUCCCCCAAGAGCUCACAUCGACGGGGAGGUUUGGCACCUCGAUGUCGGCUCAUCGCAUCCUGGGGCUGGAGCAGGUCCCAAGGGUAUGGCUGUUCGCCAUUUAAAGCGGUACGCGAGCUGGGUUCAGA
rnacentral:rRNA from 1 species